ACCUCUCCUUCUCACCCUCAUUUAAAGGUUAGCAGCUGAAGAAGCAGUAUUUCUUUGGCUAGAGAUUACCUCUUCUUGAGCUGUCACUUCCUGUUAGAAGAGUAAAGCUUCCUCAUCUACUUGUCUUCCUCUGAAAUUCCUUUGUUACUGCCCUUUCUUCUAGAACUACAAACACAAAUGCCUACGUCUUUUUGUUCCCCAGGAUUCCAAUCUUGGAGAUUUAAUCAAAUAACAAACUCCAAGGCUCCAUUUCUUUUCUAUCUGUGCAUGAGAACACACUCUUCUGGAGAACUUAAACUUUAGCCUUUAUAGAAAUAUUUUGCUAUGGUUAUUUAAAAACUGGAAAGUACAGUUAUAUUGGACUUUCCCUAAUCAAACACAAACCAGAGAUAUGAAAUGAAAUGGAACAUCAAGGAGGUGGAAAUAUGGGCACAGAAACAAAGAGGACAUCAGCAGAGUUUCACUUCCUCUUCAUCUUUAUUUAAAAUGAGAAAUAAUUAUCCUCUCAUUUCUUUUAAACUGUUGAAAGCAUAAAUGUACUGCGCUAUAUUGAUAAACGGGAGAAUCUGAUCUGUCAAGCAGCUGUGCUUGCUCUCUUUUUCAGUUUGCAUGUUUGAGUAUCUGGCAAAAUGUAAGUAAACAGUAAUGAAGAGAAAUCUGGCAAGCUGGGCUUUGGUCAUUCCCCAUUCCUUGGUGUAUAUAUGUUGCAUUUUGUAGGGGUUCGAGUUUCACUUCCACAUCUGUGAAGGAGGAUGUUAUAUCAGACAGCUUGUAAAGAAUAAUAUGAACAUAUCCUUUAAAACAGAAAAGCUGGGCUAAAAUUACUGUGUAUUUUGUACUGCAGAUGUGAGUAUAUCACUUCAGUCUUAUUUGAAUAUUCAGAUUCAUGUACAGUUUUCUGCUGAAUUUUGUACUGGACUUCACUCAAUCAUGAAUUCUCCUCUUGAGAGGAGUGGAUGUUUCAAAGUAAAUGUAAAUGAAAACAAUUUGGAAAAAACUGUUAACAUUUUAUUUUGCUUGAGGGGAAAAAUGUUUUUUUGUUUUUUUUUUGUGCUUGCGUGACAUUAACAUAGUUAAAUGCCACUAAUUGGGUGCUGGAGUUCUCAUAAUUAUGUUUUUUCAAUGUUAGUGUCAAAAAGAAAUACAUAAAUUCUAUUCUUCAAACACAUUUGAAAAAAAUAUACACUGAAAAGUACCUAUGGAAAAGUCAUUCAAUCAGAAACACUCCUAAAUGUCCCAAAUAUAUGGUUUUACAAUUAAAAGGUUUUACAAUUAAAAGGUUUUAUACUUUAUUGUACAGAAUUAUUUUUUACUGAUUGAUUUAAACUUUUUUAGUAUUUUUGGUGUUUAUUGAGGGUUACUGUAAAUUUGAUCAAGUUUUCUUUAACAACUAAAAACAAAUGUUUUUCUGUAUGAUUUUUAAUACUCAAACUCCCUUUUAUUUGGGAUGGCACUUUCAUGCUGUAUGAAGACACAUAGGACAAUGUAUUCCACUCAAAUUCAGUGAAUUAUAGGGAAGAGAUGAAAGUAUUCCACAUCAUAACAUCAUGCAGUGUACUGGGAGUUAGAGAGCAAAUGCUCUAGUUCUGGGUGCUUGUCCAGAAGAGAAGAACUACGUUCCCCAGAAGACUGUUUGAGUACUGUUAUCAUUCCUGCUCAGGGGAACAGAUAUAUGGCCUGUAGGUCACCUGACCUGUGUCCUCUUCCCUUUCUUCUUAUCUCAUGCUCGCUUGCGGAUCGUCUCACUGCUGCUCCCGACUGCAUGCAAGGCUUCAGUAUUAGUAGAAUGCUACAAAAGCAGUUACACUGGCAUAUAGUUAAAUCAUGACUUUUCCUUCAGUCUGAUUUGUGACUGGAAAUCACUAGUGCAAGAUGGGAAGAUUUAAGUUGACAGCCUGGAUAUUGUACAGCAUUUUCAUCUGAAGCAGAGUGAACUCACCACAAAACGGUAACAUCUCUAAAGUUUGCACCAUCAUCUCAUCUGAAGCAUGAUGUACCAUAAAACACAUGGAGCAUUUCUGUCAAAAUUUUCAUGUAAACACUUGGAAUGAGACUGUACCUGGGCUCAGAAAUCUCCUCAUGUGGAAGAAGAAAAAGCAAAAAAAAUCUACUGCUGGAGCACUGACUGUGGCAAACAGAAGACACUGUGUAAUAGCUUCAGCUGCUCAGUGGUGUGGUGAUGAUAUCUUCUGUCUUAUUAUGGCUGCUUGGAUGCUUCAAAGAAAGAUCACCUUAAAGGUUUCUAAAACUGUAUCUUUUAUAGCAGAUGUGUGAAGGGAUGUGCAAAUCAAAGGGCUUCUGUCAUUUCUGGCUGAAGUCCAAACAUCUUGGAACAACUCAGCAGAGAGUUUGAAUUGCUCACUCCAUCAUCUAUAGUGGAAUAAGUCUAAUAAUCAGAAUUCUUCUGAAGUGAUCAAAAAUUUAUGCCUAGGCAGGCUUACAGUGUUAGAGAUGCAUACUAUGUAUUAGGAGUUAAAACAUCACAUUUGAGUAUUUCUGCCAAAAUUUUUGUCUGUUUCUGCUAUAAUUUCAGGAGAACUUGGUGGCAGCUAUUAAGGUUAGUGAGUUACUGUAAAUAAGUUGUUUGAGUACAUUUGCAUUGGAAGAAUAUUCAGUGAAAUUAGGGUCAGUGUUAUAGACAGUAGAACACUUUGGCAAAUCUAACAAGGAAUUUAAAAGUUAAUAAAGCAGAAAUGUAUGUAUCUCACCCUUAUGUCCCUAUAAUAAAUAAAUCUCAUCAUUUAAGAGAAAAUCUUCCAUUUGAACUAAAAGAAAUUGUAUUCAUUUGUUAAAGAAUUAUUGAUGUUUCUUGUGGAAAAACUGAUAACAAACUGGCAAGAGUUGCUGUAUUCAGAUAAAUCUUAGCCAAAUGUUUCUUUGACCAGUAUAUCCUUUCUACGGUUUGUGAAUGGCUUGACAGUCAAAGGCACAGUUUUCUUCCACUUCUCUUCAAAAAUAUUAUCUCUUUAUGUUCUUCAAAUAUCAAAGCACGGCUUUGUUGAAGUGGAGGAAAAUACUGCUUGCCUUGAUUGCAGCUGGGGAGAUCCUGACCAGAAAGGAAGAACAGAUAUUUGGCACAUAGCCUUUGAAAAUAUGAAAGGUGGGAACUGAGAGGAGGGCAGGCAGGCAGGUGGGAAAGGGCUGAGGCAUUAACAUCGCACUGCACAAGUGGAAGGAUGCUUCAUACCAAGCAGAACUUAACAGGAGGCUGCUGUGGUCUUUGCCUCCACUGUCCGUAGUAAAUUUGCACCUAGUGUGUAUUUUCUGUUACAUCAGCAUGCAAAUGUAAUGAACAAUAUUAAUAAGCUUCAAAGGUCAUCCUCCUCUCUACUUAUGACAAGAACUGUUUCAUCAAUUGUCCAUUCGGUUAUAGCAGCCUCCACAGAUUAUUCAGGCAAGGAAAAUAAUUUUUUUUUUCAUUUGUGUUUUUGGAUUUAUCUGCCCACUCCUCUGUCCAAGUUUCAUAACACACUGGGGCAAGAAUUCAACAUCUGAAUUACAGGAAAAUUAAGCAUGCAGUCCUGUUUUUGUUUCUGCUAUGUGUGUGUGGUUUUUUUUUUUAAUGUAAUGCAUAAUCACAUCAUUAAAUAAGAUUUGAUAGUAUUAAUGUCAGGCAUCCCCUAUGAGACCUUUUGCUUUUCAAGUUGCCUUCGAUACCAAUAAAAAUACUCUAGCAAACACUUGCUAAAAUGUAAUUUUCAUGUGCUUACUUCUGCAUUUCAAACCCAAACAUGACAAGCAGUUUCCUUUCAGCAUUAGUAUCUGUUCUGGGUUUAUUUACAAUCUGUUGAGAACAACAACAACAAAAAAUUCAGUGUGAGUUUCUUUAUCUUAAAUAGUGGACAACAGAGCUAAUAUCUAAAACUAUCUAUUAGCAUGUCAGUUGAAGUGAUAUCAUACUCCCCCAGAAUAGUAGGUCUACUUUGAACAAGACUGUGAUUUAUGAUUCAGAAUCUCAAUAACUAUCUUUCUAAGCCAGUAAAGAUGACAUCUGGGUAGAACAGAUCUAGACCUAUUCAAACCACAUAGAUUUUACUAUUUAUAAAUUCAAAUUAUCUGUUUUCAACAUUGAAAGAGUGUUUCAGAAUGACUAAAAGGAACUGAUCAAUAGUGUACAACAGGCUAACUUAACCACAGGCUUCAUUGGCAACAUGCAAGAGAGAAUUUCUAAAUGUAGCAAUUUAGAAAACUGGUGGUUAGCCUUUGUUCAUCUUGUAUUUGGUGUGAACUAGGAAAUAAACUCAGCUAAAUAUAAAUGAUAGCUCUUAUAUGGCAGUUCCCUAUAAAUUUUUUUAAUAUUAAUCAUUAUAUUCCUGUAAAAAAUAAGAACUGUAAAGGCACUUGAAUUUAGAUUUUUAGUUGAAGCUUUAAGAGCUGUGGGUUUUGUCACAUACAGAAUUAAAAAAGGCAACAGAAGUCUCCUUGCACGCUGGAAGUCAGCUUGAUUAAAACUGAAGCUGCAGAAGCCAAAAGGGCAAAACUUUCACUGACUUCAACUGUGAAGAGAAAAAUACCCAGGAAGAACUUUUCGAUGCUAUUGCAAAUAUGGCACAAAUGUAGGAAUUGCAUGACCUGAGAUCUGGCUUAGAUUAUUUGAGAGUUUUCUUUUUCCUCUGUUUUUUUACUUGACUACACCCCAGAAUUCCUGUUCAUCUCAUUUUAAUGUGCUUGCCACAGCGUUCUCCCCACCCCCCCUCCAAAAAAAAAAAAAAUACAAACUUUGGUGACGUGUACAGUGUGAUCAACUUCUGAAGUUUAAGUAGAAGUAGCAUUUCAUAAUAGGUGAACUGAAAAAACUUGCACUGAAUUUACUAAUACAAACUGUUGACUCAUUCUAUUAGCUUUGCAUGGGGCUUAGCUAUUGAAUCAAACUGCAUACGCCGCUGUGCUAAGAAGCUUGAAGUGUCUCGUUGACCAUUGCUUUUCAGGAGAGGGAAGCUGCCUCACUGAAAUCAACCACUGUCUUCAGUAAGGACAGAUUUUUCUUCUGGAAGAGUCAUAGUCAUUUCCAGAAGUGAUGAAUAAUGUAGUACUGUGAUACUUUUUUUUUUUUUUUUUUGUCAGUAAAUGGACACUUAGUGUACAUAAUUGUAUUUCCUUAGUAUUGUUUAUCUUAAGCUCAAGAUGUGUAAUUCAUUUAGUGUUUUAUAAAUUGUUCUUUUGAAAUUGUGCCAGAUAUUAGAACAAAAAUUGGAAUGACCAUAGUAUUAUUCUUUAAUAUGGAGCACACAUAUAAACAGAAAGAACUGACUUGAAAUAAUUCAGACUUAUUAUAAAUAAGCACUGAAAAGUGCAGAUGUGAAAAAUAUAACUAUAUGAUUAAUUAUCCAGAAAAAUAAAGUGAACGCAUGCUAUAAACAAAUUAAAUGCAAACUUGCUCAUAGAAAAAGCAUGUUUUCUCUGUCCAAAACUAGAUUUAAUUUCUACUGAUAAUUAGAAACUCUGCUAAUAAUAAUACUGAACACUAAAUAUUCCUAUAAAAUAUUUAAUUUAGGAUAAGAUUUGAAAUACAGGGAGCUGCAAAUACUUCUUAUUUCUUUUAGUAGCGUGUGCUUCAGCAGUUUUCAGAUAUGCUGUCUUCUAGAAUGCUAUAUCUUCUAGAUGGCACCAGCCUUGUGAUACUUCUGAUCUAUUUUGGUUUUGAAACCUUUCCAGGUUAUUUGGAGUAUUUACAUCUCUUGCACCAAAUGUAAAUGAACUUACUACAUGAUCAAAUUUCAUCAGAAUAAUAAAUUAUCCUAGUUUAUUCCUUAUGCUGUAAGCAUGCAUCCUUGAGACUUUCAAUGUGUAGUUUAUGGAAAAUACUGCUUUUAAUUAAAAAGAAAUUUAAUUACACCAAAGGUUCUGUGUGUCACGCUCAUUGAGUACUAGACCUUGUCACUAGGUUAAUGGUAAAAAUAGAAUAAGGUCAAUUAAAUGUUUAUAAGGUAGGUUUUUAUUUUAAAAGCCAAGUGAAUGUAAGUUUUUUUUAUUAUUCUCAGAAAUCUUGUUUGUUGCAUCAAUCCAAGGAUGCUAUGGUCAGUUCAUCGGUGCGUGUUCUGUGCACAACAUAUUGUAUCUCCUUUUCCUUCUUUGUAGGUUCGCUACUCAAGGAGACCUUUGAGUAACCAGUAAUUUAGUGCAUGUCUACCAACGUGAAAGAGGAUCUCAAACUACUUUAGGCACUCACUUUUGUUGUUUUUUUAUGUUCACAGUAAUAUCCAUAGAACAUGCUCAUUAUAAAUAAUAGAACGGUAUUGCGUAUUUUAUUUUAAUUACAAUCGUAUUUAU
ensembl:lncRNA